rnacentral:pre_miRNA from 1 species
UGGUGACCUGAGGCUUCCUGGCUGUCACUCUGUCCCAGCCCCUCCUGGCCUGCGGGGCACAGCCUGAGUCCCAGUAAAGUCUGUCAGGUCCUGACCC